GAUGAACGCUGGCGGCGUGCCUAAUACAUGCAAGUCGAACGGAGUAUGCAGCAAUGCAUGCUUAGUGGCGAACGGGUGAGUAACGCGUUGGUGACCUGCCCCGAAGAGAGGGAUAACAGAUCGAAAGGUCUGCUAAUACCGCAUAAUCUGCACCUAGUUAGAGAGGGUGCAGGAAAGGAGCAAUCCACUUUGGGAGGGGCCUGCGUCCCAUCAGCUAGUUGGUAAGGUAAAGGCUUACCAAGGCGAAGACGGGUAGGGGACCUGAGAGGGUGGCCCCCCACAAUGGAACUGAAACACGGUCCAUACACCUACGGGUGCUG
rnacentral:rRNA from 1 species